AAUUUUGAUUGGUUGAUUGGAAAGUUCAAAAAGAUGUAGAUCCAGGAACACGUGGUACUUGGUGAAAUCACGUUUCCCCCCAGUGGGCAACAAGAGUAGUGACUUUUUUAGUGAAUCAUUAAUUCAUGAACGAAUCAGUGACUCAAUAGAUUCGUUCAACCACACUGAUUCAGUCGGGAACCUCCACUACUGUGUGUUGAUGGGAGACGCAGAUUGGAAUUUUUUGGGGAAAAUAUUUUCAUUGCCGAUGCAAAAAUACAUUAAGCAACUAUCAAUGUUGUGUCUAAAAUUUUGGUGACAACAUGGAACAUAAUCUCUCGUCCAUGGAAGGAAGUAAAAACUGCUUCAUUUCCUGUCUGGCCAUGAGAGACAUCCAGACCUCCCCUGAACCUAAGAGAUGGAAAAUGUUUAUGUUCGUUUGGCAGCUCUCCAGACCAAAUCCCCCCUGUGAGAGAGUAGGACUGGUCUCCACAUGUCUAUCCAGGGGAGGGUCGAUCCAAUAACCUCCAGAUUUAGGGGGCACGAUGAGAGGUAAAAGUAAAACCCCUACCUUGAGAGGUGGUGGGAACUCACAACGUUGUUCAUCCAAUCUGCUACCCUGCAGACAAACACAACCAUAGUGAAAUCAUCAUCAUUGCAACUACACUGUAUUUACACAACACUCUGAAAACAAAUGUGGAGAGAAAAGAUCAUGACGUUACCUGUAGCUUUUCAAUGAUUGCAAACAACUCAGUGACCUGCAGAGAAAUGACGAGGAAAUGACAGAAGCAGUGAAUGUUUCAGAUAAUGCACCCUGCAAGGUGUAAUCAGAAUAUUAUCAAAAUACUGUAAAAUGUCAUUUGUCCAGUUUCCAUGAUGCAAUUACUAUCUCCAUAGUUUCAUUUUCAACAUAUUCAGAACGUCUAAAACGGGAGAUUUCUUACCUUCUGACUGGACGGUGCAGAAGUGAGUGGCUUAGCCUCACUGGAGGGGGAAUCCAAAAUAUCCAGUAUGCUGUGACUCACAGAUUCUGCACAACUGUAACACACAGAGAAAAGUGUCAUGGAAAAGUCUGCGUGCGAUAACUGAGUUCAAACACCUGAGAACAGCAACAAACCCAAACUGUAAACUGACCUGCUCUCAUUUCCAGUGAUGAACUUGUCAAUCCUGUGAACAGAAUAAAGAUGGAACUAAUUCAGUCAACAUUGUAUUCAAA